GACGAACGCUGGCGGCGGGCUUAACACAUGCAAGUCGAACGGAAAGGCCCUGCUUUUGUGGGGUGCUCGAGUGGCGAACGGGUGAGUAACACGUGAGUAACCUGCCCUUGACUUUGGGAUAACUUCAGGAAACUGGGGCUAAUACCGGAUAGGAGCUCCUGCUGCAUGGUGGGGGUUGGAAAGUUUCGGCGGUUGGGGAUGGACUCGCGGCUUAUCAGCUUGUUGGUGGGGUAGUGGCUUACCAAGGCUUUGACGGGUAGCCGGCCUGAGAGGGUGACCGGCCAAAUUGGGAGUGAGAUACGGCCCAGACUCCUACGGGAGGCAGCAGUGGGGACUAUUGCACGAUGGGCGGAAGCCUGAUGCAGCAACGCCGCGUGCGGGAUGACGGCCUUCGGGUUGUAAACCGCUUUCGCCUGUGACGAAGCGUGAGUGACGGUAAUGUGUAAAGAAGCACCGGCUAACUACGUG
rnacentral:rRNA from 1 species